AAAAAAAAAAAAAAAAACCAAAACAAUUACACAAAAUAUUAUUUCAAGAUUUAGUCGAACGCUUUAAUUUUUUUGGUUACAAGCCCAUGCUUUGGAAAGAUUAGAUUAACUAAAUACUCUUAAAAUAAAAUUUAUCAUUAUUUUUUUUUUUAUAUAAUCCCAAGCAUAAAAUAUACUCUUAAAAUAAUUAUGAAAUGCCCUUAAAUUAAAAACUAAAUAAUCAAAAUAAUAAAAUAAAUAUUAAAUAAAUAAUGCCUCAAAUCUUUAAAUAUUUUUAAGGUGAGCAACAAAUUAGUAGAAGAAUUAAAUGAUUGAUGCUUUAAAUCUUUUAAAAUUUGAAAGGUUGACAAUAUUUGUUUUUGUAAUUUAAUCAUAUUUAAAAAAAAAUGCAAAUAAAUCAGAUUAGGUUGGAAUGCGUAAGUUUCACAUAUACACAUAUUUGUUAUUUAAAAUACAUUUAUAAAAAUCACAUGUUUUUUUUUUAUUCAAUCCAAUCAAAUGGGUCAAAUAAAUAACUUUUUUCAUCCUCUAAAUACUCACUAAUACCCAAACUAAUUAAUUUUUUAAAGAGAUAGAAUUAUUAUGAUGCACAAAAUUCCAACAUAAAAAACUAUGGCAUAAAUAUAAUAAAUCUUCAUGCAUGAAUUGUAACAUUAUAAAAUAAAAUCUUUAAAUAAAAGCAGGAAAUACAUCUCUAAAUAUGGAUAUGAACAAAAAUAAUAAAUAAUAAAUAAUAAAAAUAUUGAGUGUGUCCUUGAUAUCUUGUGAUUUUAUGAUUUGUUUUGAUCAUAUUAUAGUGAUUUGCAUGUAAACUUUGUCUCGUUUCCCUGUUUGAUUUCUUGAAUUUAUUAAGGGAGUGGAGAAUUUUCAAAGGUGAUGUUUUUUGGAUCUUUUAGAUUUCAAGGUGCUUAUAUUCUUUCAUUUAAUUCUUACUUUUAAAGAAUUAGGAUUAUAAGAACAAGAAACCCUUUAAUUGGUUAGAUUUUAAUUUCACUUUCUAUUUAAUGGGGUUUGAAUUUUUUAAAUUGGUUUCUCAUUUUCUUUCAAAAAAUUAGUUGUUUUUUUCUAAAAUUUGAAUUUCUGUUUAUGUUUGUGUUGUUAACCUCUGUCCAUAGCAAAUGAAUUAUCCAAGUAUCGUUUGUUUGAGCCUUCUGCUGCCAGAUUUUGUUACCUAUUUGCUAUCAACAAAAUUGUUUGCAUGCUAAUUAUGUCAAUUGGGAGUUGGAAACUGAAAUGCUAAAAAAUUUAACCUUUCCCAAUUUGAUUUAUUUUAAGUUGAAAAUGAGUACUUGCAUUGCGUAUCUUUCAAUAGAAAAUGAUCUUAAAAAAAUGGAACUCAAUGAAACAUGUUUUCUUUCUUCCUUAUCAUUUUCAUGGUUUGUUUCACAUUUAUUUGAGGUGGUUUUUGGUGUCAUGAAUAAUAGAUGUUCACUGUACACUUCAAAUGGUGGUGCGGCAUACAUGUAUAUAUGAAACUUUUGUUUUUGCAAAUUAUGAAUCCUGGAUUUGCUCAUCUUAUAGUAUCUACUCUCAGUUUGCUACGUGGGAAACACAGUUUUUUGCUAUCCAGUUCAUAAAUUUUAGUCUAGUCGUGUCUGCUUUAAAGCAAAUUGUGUAACUCUGAUAAUAUGAAGAGGCAGUUCUUCAGGAUAGUAUAGGCAACGGUUGCUAUUGCAAAUUAUGACUCAUUGAUCAGUAUAUGUUAAUUCUUCAACAAUCCACUUCUCGGUUGCUUGUUGGGUAUAUCAUAUUUCUUAUAGUAUUCAAUCCAUAAAGUAUAUUACGGAUGAGUCAGCUUCGCCACAAUUUUUCCGGUCUCUUAGUUAAGGUGCUAAUAGGCAGUUCAAAAGUUUCACCAAGAAAAGCAGAACUAAUUAAAAUUCUUUGAUCAGUUAAUAUUAAUUCUUCAACAAUCCACUUCUAGGUUGCUUGUUGGGUAUAUCAUAUUUCUUAUAGUAUUUAAUCCAUAAAGUAUAUCAUGGAUAAGUCAGAUUCGCCACAAUUUUUCCAAUCUCUUGGUUAAGGUGCUAUUAGGCAGUUCAAAAGUUUCACCAAGAAAAGCAGAACUAAUUAAAAUUCAUUGAUCAGUUGAUGUUAAUUCUUCAACAAUCCACUUCUAGGUUGCUUGUUGGGUAUAUCAUUUUUCUUAUAGUAUUCAAUCCAUAAAAUAUAUCACGGACGAGUCAGCUUCGCCACAUUUUUUCCAGUCUCUUGGUUUAGGUGCUAAUAGGCAGUUUAAAAGUUUCAAAAGUUUCACCAAGAAAAGCAGAACUAAUUAAAAUUCCAAAUUGAUGAUGUUACUUUCCAAACAAAAGUCUUUUGUCACUAUUCACACAGUGUUUCAGUUGUAUCAUAAACCUUCCCAGUAGAUCCCAAAAAGUUAAGUUGCAGUGUUGGCAUGGACUAUUCCUUGUUCUUCUACUAUCUGUAAUAGUAUAGAACUGUAAUGUCUUUUAUAGUUGUAUACCAGCAGUUUCUAAUUUUUUCGAUGACUUGACUCAGGAUUUUUUCCCUUUUAGUGAAUUAUACUUGAAUUACUUUUGGUAUAUUUUUCUUGCCAAGUUUACACGGUGCUUGGGGAUGUCAGUAUUUUCAUUGUUGGCAAAGAUGAGUAUGAUGAACUUGCUGUAAGUUAAAUCAUUAUCUGUUUUCUAUACUUGUUUGUGCAAGGAUGCUAGUCUGCUUGAUACUGAGAUCAUCUUGAGGUUGAAUACUAUCCAGCUUGUGAGGGUGAGGCUCUGGGCUACAUCAUUUAGUUUAAGACUCGCUAACUGAGUGUUAGUUUCUUCUUUGUUGACAUAAAAUUUCUGACAUGCUCUGAUGUCUGCUUAGCCUGUCAUCAAUCACAGCCUACCAUUACCUUCCAAUAGUAUUAUUUUUUUGGCAAUUCAGGAAAAUGAAAUGAUUGGUUCCAUUCUUGCACUGAAAAAUAAUUAAAAUGAUAUAAAUGAAACCUUGGUUUCCCCUGUUGACGGUGGCAUCUCUUUUGGCUGUGGAUGUCAUAUGUGAUGUAAGUGCUUGAUGAAAUAGCAAUUGAUAGGUUUUCUUUGUUGCCAUGCUUUUGUUUCAAUUAGAAGCGCAAAUGCCAUAUUGCCAUGUCAUCUUGCUGCCUAACAUAAGUAAAGUUUUUAUUGUAUAUAAGGGGUUACGGAUGUCAUCUCAUGGAAUUUGUAGUUAUACUUGUAGAAAUUCAACGGUGAGUCAUGAAUAUGUAGAUUUCAUGAUGAACCUUUCCACUUCAACAAUCUGCAAGUUCUUCAUGGGUGUAUUGAUAGGUCUUUGGCAAGGAGACAAAAUCCAGAACCUUGGAAAAGGAUCAUGGGCAGAAGGUAAUUGUUUCUUGGUGUAUUAUUCCAUACAUUUUGCUUUCAUCUUGGAAUUUAUCUCAUUGUAGUAUCUUCACCUAAUCACGCUAAUACUGCUGAUGAAAAUGAUUCUAAUUGGACCAAGGCAAUGGAGACACAUGGGUAGAUUAUGUUAUUACACAAAGUGCAAAUGUUUCUGUAGGCUCUGAACAUGGGUGGCAAAACUUAUACCUAUAAAGAAGCUAGUUGAUGCUAAUGACCAAGGUAUGCUCUCUUGGUCCAUGAAAUCUUUUCAAUGUUGAAACUGACAAAAUUAUUUUGAAAUGCUAACCUUUUCACAAUGUUUGAAGUAGUUAGUUGAUGCUUGUAUUUUAGUUGUGCCCUUCCAUCCCAAAUAGAAAUUUAGGCCCUUUCUUCUUUGUGAUCUGGAAUGUACAAAAAGAUAGCAUUUUCUUAGCUCUUAUGCAUUCAGUGUUGUAGGCUGCUGUUAGCUUCAAUAUUCUUGCGAUCAUUAGGUUAUUACAUUUUCACUCACCUAAUUACUUUUUCUUUCUUUCUUUCUUCCUUUUUUUUUUAUGGGGGGCAUAACCAUAGUUCUUAAGGGAAUAUUUUAGUUUAUGUUUCAAUAGAAAACUUGGCCAAGUUUUUAGGUAGCACAUCUGAUUUUCUAGAAUAGGAGCAGAAUUCGUCUUCACCAAGGAUAGGACUGGCUUGUUUUCUGUUUCCUAUGUAUGAUUUUAGUUUUCAAUAGGAUUUGGGGUGAUAGUCUUUCCACACUUGCUAUUUAGAGAAUGUAAUGAAGAGUAGGAGCCCAAGGGCGUUGGUUUUCAGUAGGACUGAGCGGGAUUAGAAUACAAGCUUUUCUACUUUAGUAGAAUUACAAUCAAUCAAUACAGGUCAAUGAAAUGUUGUCCCUCACAGAGAUUUUGUGAAUGUUGUGUGUGAAAUAUCAUAAAGUUGCAGCCUGUUAUGUACUCAUUUCAGUUUUCUUCCCAAUUUAAGCAUACGAUUUUGUUCCACUUGUAUUGGGGUAUAUGUUUAAGCUUCUCUGUUUGCUUGGAGCUUGUCAUCAAUUGCAUUGAAUGAGCUAUUUUUUUUUAUGAAUGUCCAGCCCAUAACCCUCUUUAGUUUCAAAUAGUUGGUCUUGGUUGACUUGAUUUCCAUGCAUUCAGAAUCUGUUUGAAAUUUGUUCUUCGUAAAAAAUGCAGUAGCAGGAUCUUCGUUUAGCUUUUAGUUUCUGCAACUCCACCGUUUAUCUUUGAACCAAAAUAUUUUCUUAGAUUUCCCAUGCACUCACCGUUAGCGAUGGAGUUAUGGAAACUAAUUGUGGAACUUGAAUACUGCUGCUACUGUUAGCUAUAGAGAGUGUAACAAAUGGGUUGUAUAUUUAAUUGGCCGGGUCGGGGCCUUCAUUCUUCAACCAAGCCAAAUGUUUGAAACUGGUCUGUGGUUUGGGCUAUAUUUUUCAAGUAUGUUGAGGUGCCAUUGAAGACUGAUCACUAGCUUGAAAGAUGAAGAUCUUUUCUAGCUGAGCAGACAAAGGAAUAGAAAGGUGAACUUGGAUGCUUAAAAUAUAGCCCAACUACAAGGGUUAUGAGUUGGAUGUUGCAUUGUUCCUUGAGAUGUACGGGUUUUUUACUUCUUUGCUAAUUGCGCAUCUCAAUUCUUCAUGCU